UAGGGAAUCUUCCGCAAUCGGCGAAAGCCUGACGGAGCAACGCCGCGUGAGUGAUGAAGGUCUUCGGAUCGUAAAACUCUGUUAUUAGGGAAGAACAAAUGUGUAAGUAACUAUGCACGUCUUGACGGUACCUAAUCAGAAAGCCACGGCUAACUACGUGCCAGCAGCCGCGGUAAUACGUAGGUGGCAAGCGUUAUCCGGAAUUAUUGGGCGUAAAGCGCGCGUAGGCGGUUUUUUAAGUCUGAUGUGAAAGCCCACGGCUCAACCGUGGAGGGUCAUUGGAAACUGGAAAACUUGAGUGCAGAAGAGGAAAGUGGAAUUCCAUGUGUAGCGGUGAAAUGCGCAGAGAUAUGGAGGAACACCAGUGGCGAAGGCGACUUUCUGGUCUGUAACUGACGCUGAUGUGCGAAAGCGUGGGGAUCAAACAGG
rnacentral:rRNA from 1 species